UUAUUAUAUUCAUAACUCCUAAAAUUUUGUCUGAGGAUACUUAAUGAAAUUUUGAACCAAUAUCCCUAAAUGACUAUCACAAAGGAGAAGU